rnacentral:lncRNA from 1 species
GAGAACCCGCCCCCUCUUCGCCACGCGAUUGGUCGCUCACGCUGUCUCUCCGGCGCCUCGCCUGCCCAUUGGGCGAGGCGGGGGCGCCCUCCGCCCCUCCCGGUUCUGUCGGUUGAGACGAGCCGUGAGUAAAUAGAAGCAGGAGCUCAAAAUGGCGGAGCCGUCGAGCCCGAUUCGCGGUGCGGCGUCGUCCGAGCAGGAGCCGUUCGGCACCAGACCAGCCCCAGACGCGAAGGUGUCCCGUGGGUCCCAGCCAGCCGCCAAGAAGAUGAAGGGAGCCGAAGAGAGGAGCCUGAAGGGUACUAAGCGCGUCAACGGUGAAGGGGGCGGCGGCAACGGCGGGAGCGGCAAGCAGUCGCUGCCGCUGCCAGCGGUCGUGCCGAGCUACAGCAGCCCCGCGGCGUGGGGUUUCCCCGCGCUCCCUUCUGGCCCCUCCGGCAGCGCGGGGGGCUUCGCUUUCCCUUCUCCGCUGCCCCGGAAGCUGCUGUCGCCCGCCGUUUUGCUGCCGUCGUCCGCCUCCCCCUCCUCUUCCUACCAGCAGCACCAGCACCGCCACCACCGGCACCGCCUGGCCCUGGCCGGCGAGGCGGGAGGCUGCAGCGGCGGGGCGGCCGGCGCUAGCGGCGGGAGCGCCAAGGCGAAGAGGCCCAAGGAAAAGCGGGACAAGGAGAGGAGGAAGCACGGAGCCCUGCCCGUGGUCGCAGCGGUGGGAGAUGGCGGCGGGGCCUUGAGUGCGGCAGGCCGGGAGGAGAACGGCGAGGUGAAGCUGCUGCUGCCGAAAGCUCAAAUCAAAGACAAAAUUAAAGAAAGGGAAAAGAAGCAAAAAGAGAAGAAGAAGCACAAAAUAAUGAAUGAAAUCAAGAAAGAAAAUGGAGAAGUCAAAUUAUUGCAAAAAGGUAUGUUCAAACUGUAGUAAUAUUUCAUUUUUGUGUUUGAAAAUUUUUGUUGUUAGUUUGGAUACUGAGUUUUAAUACUGUGUUUUUAAUUUAAAUGCCAUUUCCCCCAGUUAGUUGGUAUGAGGGUUGUAAAUUAAAAUUUAGCUAUAAAUGUUAAUUUUUGUCGACUGUGUUUGGUAGUGGAGGUAAAAAAUACAGCUGUUACCACAAUGUUGCUUAUACAGUAGUAGUAAAGACUAAUACUUUGAGUAAUAAUACUGGUGAUACCUGUAUCUUCCCUGCAGUUACUGAAGAAGGUGAUAACUUUAUGUAUUGUGAAGAAGAAAAAUGAAUCCAUGUCACAUCUUGUAUCUGACAUUAAAUGCACAAAACUGAGUAACUAAGGAGAAUAAUUCAGGAACUUUGUCAAAUAGUGAAAAACUGUGCAACAGGCAGCCUUAAUUCUGGCUGACUUCUUCAACUUCAUUUGCUGUAAUGGGAUGUAAUUAAGAUUGUGCUGUCACACUUGCUUGUACAUCCACUGAAUCUUGGAAUUGCACAGUAGUUUAGGUUGGAAGGGAGCCUGACUGGCAAGCCCAGAACUUGAUGUGAUAUUCUGGAUGUCUCAGCAGUGGUGAGCAGGGGGGGAAGAAUCAUCUCCCUCAACCUGCUGGCAGUGCUCUUCCUAAUCCUGUCCAGGAGGCUGCUGGCCUGCUUUACCAGGAAGGCACGCUGGUGGGCUUACGGUCAACCUGUCAUCCACCAGGCCACCCAAGGCCACCUCUGUCAGGCUGCUGCCCAGCCAGCUGAGCCCCAGCCUGUGCUGGCACACAGGGCUGUUCCUCUUUGCGCACCCCUGUGGUGACUUCAUGCGUCCACAGAGUUGACCAGUUCCUACAGCCUCUCAAGGUCACUCUCGCUGGCAGCACAACCCUGUGGUGCAUCAACAGCUCCUUCUGGUUUUGCAACACCUGCAAAGUUGCUGAGGGUGUGCUCUGUCCCAUGAUGCUGGUCGUUAAUGAAGAUGAUGAACAGCAUUGGCACAAGGUAUCAAUAUCUGAGUUACUGCAGUAGCAUCUGUCCUCCAGCUGGACUUUGUGCUGCUGAUCACGACCGUUUCAGCAGAGCAGUUAACCCAAGUCUUGAACCACCUCACUCUUCACUUGAGCAGGUCAUGCUGCAUGGCUUUUUCUGUGAGGAUGUCACUUACUUAAGUAGACCAACUAUUUAUUUUUUAAAUGUUAUUUUCAGACUCAAUGCUUUUGAAGUUAGGAACAAAUUCCUUAUAUGUUUUUCUGUUAUCUUGUCUGCUGUAGGAUUUAAUUUACAAACAAAAACCUGAAACCCCCAAAACAAACCAUUGUAUUCAAAAUACUUAUAGGUCAGAGGCAUGGAACCCUGUAAUUACAGCGUCAUGUAUUAUACUUUAAGCAGAGCUCUGAGUAACUGUAUUAACAACUACAACAGCUUAAAACCUGUGGUGAACAAUUGGCUUAGACCAUGAGGAAUGUGUAAGCUGGUGACUUCCUGUGAAAAGAACAGAUGUGGCUUUUCUUUGCUGAGCAUGAAAGGAAGUUGGUGGUUGUGAUACUGGGCAACACACAACUGCCUCAACGGUGAGCUCUUCGGGUUUUGUUUGCCUGUGCCUGCCAGCCUUUUGGGUUUUUUUACACUGUGUCCUCUUUCUAUUGUCAUUCAGCUGAUAAGGUGGAAGCUGCAAAGACAGCAAGUCUUGUUACACAGAUCUAAUAUAUGAUACCUAAUGGGGAUAUUUGGCCUCAAAUGGUGCUUUAUUUUCAAUUAAUAUAAAAAAAGCCUAUGUAGAGGGGCUCUGUUAGAGCUCUUCUGGUGUUCUGAGCUAGUUGAGUAGCAGAAUAGGUUCUUCUCACAUAACAGUGUUACAGCUUUAGGUGCCUUAUUUCAUAGAUGUGAUGUUAUCAGCCAAGUAUCAUGUUUUCGGUGUUCUUUAUGGUGUUGGUGGGAAGUGUUUUGUAGAGGCUAUAUUUGAUUUGCCUGUAUCCUGCAAAAUUCACUGCUAUUUCAGGGAAAGAAGGGAGUGGUCAGGAGAGCAGUUGUUUAGAGCAGAUGGAUCCUCUCCACUGGGUUUGUAUCCAUUCAGAACAGCAGCUCUGGAUGUCUUC